AGUGGCGAACGGGUGAGUAAUGCAUCGGAACGUACCGUGUAGUGGGGGAUAACGUAGCGAAAGUUACGCUAAUACCGCAUACGCCCUGAGGGGGAAAGUGGGGGACCGCAAGGCCUCACGCUAUAUGAGCGGCCGAUGUCGGAUUAGCUAGUUGGUAGGGUAAAGGCCUACCAAGGCGACGAUCCGUAGCGGGUCUGAGAGGAUGAUCCGCCACACUGGGACUGAGACACGGCCCACACUCCUACGGGAGGCAGCAGUGGGGAAUUUUGGACAAUGGGCGCAAGCCUGAUCCAGCCAUGCCGCGUGAGUGAAGAAGGCCUUCGGGUUGUAAAGCUCUUUCAGACGGAAAGAAAUCUCUCGGGAUAACACCCUGGGAGGAUGACGGUACCGUAAGAAGAAGCACCGGCUAACUACGUGCCAGCAGCCGCGGUAAUACGUAGGGUGCGAGCGUUAAUCGGAAUUACUGGGCGUAAAGCGUGCGCAGGCGGUGAUGUAAGACAGAUGUGAACUCCCCGGGCUCAACCUGGGAACUGCAUUAGUGACUGCAUAGCUGGAGUACGGCAGAGGGGGAUGGAAUUCCGCGUGUAGCAGUGAAAUGCGUAGAUAUGCGGAGGAACACCGAUGGCGAAUGCAAUCCCCUGGGUCCUGUACUGACGCUCAUGCACGAAAGCGUGG
rnacentral:rRNA from 1 species